AGAGUUUGAUCAUGGCUCAGGACGAACGCUGGCGGCGUGCUUAACACAUGCAAGUCGAACGGAAAGGCCCCUUCGGGGGUACUCGAGUGGCGAACGGGUGAGUAACACGUGGGUGAUCUGCCCUGCACUUUGGGAUAAGCCUGGGAAACUGGGUCUAAUACCGAAUAGGACCGCAUGCUUCAUGGUGUGUGGUGGAAAGCUUUUGCGGUGUGGGAUGGGCCCGCGGCCUAUCAGCUUGUUGGUGGGGUAAUGGCCUACCAAGGCGACGACGGGUAGCCGGCCUGAGAGGGUGUCCGGCCACACUGGGACUGAGAUACGGCCCAGACUCCUACGGGAGGCAGCAGUGGGGAAUAUUGCACAAUGGGCGCAAGCCUGAUGCAGCGACGCCGCGUGGGGGAUGACGGCCUUCGGGUUGUAAACCUCUUUCAGUAUCGGCGAAGCUCCAGGAUUUUUCUUGGGGUGUCGGUAGGUACAGAAGAAGCACCGGCCAACUACGUGCCAGCAGCCGCGGUAAUACGUAGGGUGCGAGCGUUGUCCGGAAUUACUGGGCGUAAAGAGCUCGUAGGUGGUUUGUCACGUUGUCUGUGAAAACUCACAGCUUAACUGUGGGCGUGCGGGCGAUACGGGCAGACUGGAGUACUGUAGGGGAGACUGGAAUUCCUGGUGUAGCGGUGGAAUGCGCAGAUAUCAGGAGGAACACCGGUGGCGAAGGCGGGUCUCCGGGCAGUAACUGACGCUGAGGAGCGAAAGCGUGGGGAGCGAACAGGAUUAGAUACCCUGGUAGUCCAA
rnacentral:rRNA from 1 species